rnacentral:rRNA from 1 species
GACGAACGCUGGCGGCGUGCUUAACACAUGCAAGUCGAACGGAAAGGCCAUGCUUUUGUGGGGUGCUCGAUUGGCGAACGGGGGAGUAACACGUGAGUAACCUGUCCUUGACUUUGGGGUAAAUUCAGGAAACUGGGGCUAUACCGGAUAGGAGCUUCUGCAGCAUGGUGGGGGUUGGAAAGUUUCGGCGGUUGGGGAUGGACACGCAGCUUAUCGGUUUGUUGGUGGGGUAGGGGCAUACAAAGGCUUUGGCGGGUAGCCGGCCUGAGAGGGUGACCGGCCACACUGGGACUGAGGUACGGCCCAGACUCCUACGGUAGGCAGCAGUGGGGAAUAUUGCACACUGGGCGGAAGCCUGAUGCAGCAACGCCGCGUGCGGGAUGACGUCCUUCGAGUUGUAAACCGCUUUCGCCUGUGACGAAGCGUGAGUGACGGUAAUGGGUAAAGAAGCACCGGCUAACUACGUG